CUACGGGUUGCUCCAGUAAGGAAUAUUGGUCAAUGGACGCAAGUCUGAACCAGCCAUGCCGCGUGAAGGAUUAAGGUCCUCUGGAUUGUAAACUUCUUUUAUAUGGGACGAAAAAAGGUCUUUCUAGACCCCUUGACGGUACCAUAUGAAUAAGCACCGGCUAACUCCGUGCCAGCAGCCGCGGUAAUACGGAGGGUGCAAGCGUUAUCCGGAUUCACUGGGUUUAAAGGGUGCGUAGGCGGGUAGGUAAGUCAGUGGUGAAAUCCUGGAGCUCAACUCCAGAACUGCCAUUGAUACUAUCUAUCUUGAAUAUUGUGGAGGUAAGCGGAAUAUGUCAUGUAGCGGUGAAAUGCUUAGAUAUGACAUAGAACACCCAUUGCGAAGGCAGCUUACUACGCAUAUAUUGACGCUGAGGCACGAAAGCGUGGGGAUCAAACAGGAUUAGAUACCCCUGUAGUC
rnacentral:rRNA from 1 species